ensembl:lncRNA
AUGGGAUACUGAGUCACAGUGAUGGGGUCAGAUGGGGUGACAUGGAGUUCUGGGUCACAUGGGGUUGUAUGGUUGGGGUGAGGUGGGGGCAGGGAUCCCAGAGUUCUGGGGCCACAUGGCAUUGGGUCACAGCGUGAUGGGGGCAGGCAGAGUCAGGGAGUCACAGGGUCAUGUGGGGGUAUGGUUCCCCCAGGGCUGUGGGUCACGUGCAGCCAUGCGGUCAUGCACAUACAGGGCGAUG